GACGAACGCUGGCGGCGUGGAUUAGGCAUGCAAGUCGAACGGUAUGGACCUUUCGGGGUUCAGAGAGUGGCGAACGGGUGAGUAACACGUAGGUAAUCUACCCUCAAGACGGGGACAACCCAGGGAAACUUGGGCUAAUACCGGAUGUGUGUAGUGGCUAUUUUUCUGAUUAUCAUUAUUUACGUAAGUGAGUAAUAAUAAGAAGGGAAAGUGGUUAUUACAUAAAAGGUGGCGUAAGUUGCCGCUUGGGGAUGAGCCUGCGUCCUAUUAGUUAGUUGGUGAGGUAACGGCUUACCAAGGCGAUGAUAGGUAGGCGGCCUUAACGGGUGGUCGCCCACACUGGGAUUGAGAUACGGCCCAGACUCCUACGGGAGGCAGCAGUCGAGAAUAGUCUACAAUGGACGGAAGUCUGAUAGUGCGACGCCGCGUGAACGAAGAAUCCCUUCGGGUGUAAAGUUCUUUUAUACGUGAGCAGUGUCCUUUAUAUUAAUAGUAUAAGGGGAGAGAUAUUAGCGUAUGAAUAAGCAACGGCUAACUCCG
rnacentral:rRNA from 1 species